rnacentral:rRNA from 1 species
AAGUCGAGCGGGCGUAGCAAUACGUCAGCGGCAGACGGGUGAGUAACGCGUGGGAACGUACCUUUUGGUUCGGAACAACACAGGGAAACUUGUGCUAAUACCGGAUAAGCCCUUACGGGGAAAGAUUUAUCGCCGAAAGAUCGGCCCGCGUCUGAUUAGCUAGUUGGUGAGGUAAUGGCUCACCAAGGCGACGAUCAGUAGCUGGUCUGAGAGGAUGAUCAGCCACAUUGGGACUGAGACACGGCCCAAACUCCUACGGGAGGCAGCAGUGGGGAAUAUUGGACAAUGGGGGCAACCCUGAUCCAGCCAUGCCGCGUGAGUGAUGAAGGCCCUAGGGUUGUAAAGCUCUUUUGUGCGGGAAGAUAAUGACGGUACCGCAAGAAUAAGCCCCGGCUAACUUCGUGCCAGCAGCCGCGGUAAUACGAAGGGGGCUAGCGUUGCUCGGAAUCACUGGGCGUAAAGGGUGCGUAGGCGGGUCUUUAAGUCAGGGGUGAAAUCCUGGAGCUCAACUCCAGAACUGCCUUUGAUACUGAAGAUCUUGAGUUCGGGAGAGGUGAGUGGAACUGCGAGUGUAGAGGUGAAAUUCGUAGAUAUUCGCAAGAACACCAGUGGCGAAGGCGGCUCACUG